ACAGCCACGCGAUUCAAACGCUCCCCCAAAAACAUCUGGAAAACGUGCCGUUUCUCCAUUUCCAUAAACCGGAAUCGCAUUAGAAGCAGAGGAGAAAAAAGGGGACCCAAAACACGUUUCCAGGCUUGUGUUCGAUAAAUAUUUGCAAAAUGGUCGAUGUGGGAACCACUUCUAGCCGCUUCGUCUGCCCGAAUGAUCGACAACUAGCACUGAGAGCCAAGUAAGUAAAAAAAAGUCGAGUUUUGACCUUUUACAAACUCGAGUGGCUUUAGCCGAUUGCCCAAUAACCCGAAUACAGCCAAUGAACCCAAAUUGUCGCCAUUAUUUUCCCAUUUUUGCCUUGUUCAAAACUAAAACAUUUUAGCUGUGAAGGUGGCAAUUUCGAACGCAGCACGGCGUUGGCCAUGUUGCCUGCCGCAUAGCUGCUAUGUGUGCGCGUGAGACUACCGAUGCCAACCACGUUCCCGAAUGGGAAAAUCGGUUUUUUGCUUCAGUUUGCUUCCGAGAUUUUUGAAGAAGAAACGGCCGGAUGGAAUUCCAGUUUCAGACCAAUUGACUGAGUUGCACGCAUUUGUUCAAUAAAUAUACAUCAAAAACUUACCGCCACAGGGGAAAAAAUCGCGCGCUCUUGCAGAGAGAACUGAUUUUCGACGCUCGAAACAUUGUUGUAUUUGAUCAUCGAGUAUCCGAAAGGUUGUUGCGGACUUUGGAGCGUGAUCUACUGGCAAACUUGAUUGUUAUUGCUGUUUAAAUUAACGAAAAACUAUUAACAAACUUGACCUACAUGCGUUCUUGAUUGUCUCAAGGCGAAAUGAGCUCAGCGUUCGUCGGAAGUGGACUUUCUUUGAUUUAUGCAUUCGGAAAGCGUUUAAGGUUUUUGUUUAAUUAUUUUGAUCGGGCUCCAUUACGAGAUUACAACUAUUUCCCCCUUUAAUGGCUUAUCUCUAACAUCACUAAUUCCGCGCUAAAUGGCUAAUCACCUAAUCGAUAUCGUUUGUAAACUCAUGGCAAGCAAACAAUCACUUUUGCUCUCCGCUAUCGGAUAAACAACGCAAAUCUCACUAAACAAUCCAUCCGAGUCCUGUAGAGAUAUCGAUGAUUUCCAUGCCAGUUUACUGGUUCUUCCUGCACUUUGUAAGGACCAUGUUCCACAUGGAACGGCGCUUUUCCCCCGACAACCAACCUAAUAAAGCGUAGAAUGGCCUCGCAAAUGGAACUUUUUAUUGGGAUUCUUUUUGUUGCUCCACGAGGUAAUUGUAUUGGCGCUGGAGAUGAGGGACGGAUUUUAUGGUGAAAAGGGCAACGGCACGAUGUUGAGCCUUCGUACACCGGGAUUUGCGACAAAAAGUCUCCAACUGUUGCUUGCUUUAUCAAAAAGGCGCCCUUUUUACUCGGCAGUUUUUCCUUUGCGUGUUCAAAGUUUGAUCUAGAAUGAUGCCUCCUAGAUUGCCUCCGAGAAAUGAGCAAAAACGAGUCGGA